GACGAACGCUGGCGGCGUGCUUAACACAUGCAAGUCGAACGAGUGGCGAACGGGUGAGUAACACGUGGGUGAUCUGCCUUGCACUUCGGGAUAAGCUUGGGGAACUGGGUGUAAUACCGGAUAGUGCAAGAUGAGUGCGCGGCCAAUCGGCUUGUUGGGGGGGGAAUGGCUACCAAGGCGCGACGGGUCGCCGGCAUGAGAGGGUGUACGGCGACAUUGGGCCUGAGAGACGGCCCAGUGUCGUACGGGGGGCAGCGGUGGGGAAUAUUACACAACGGGCGGGAGCGUGAUGUGGCGGCGCCGGGUGUGUGAUGAAGGCUUUCGGGUUAUAAACUCCUUUCGACAGAGACGCGGUACCUGUAUAAGAAGCACCGGCUAACUACGUGCCAGCAGCCGCGGUAAUAC
rnacentral:rRNA from 1 species